rfam:Hordeum vulgare subsp. vulgare, WGS project CAJW01000000 data, contig: morex_contig_85742
AAGACUGUACUUCACAGGAUCAUUUCUGUAGUGCGUCUUCACUUCUCUCUACUCAACGGUAGAGUCAAUGAAACUGCGAGGAUGAGCCGUAGUCCUCGCCCCCGAGCGUGAGGCAGCUGGGAACGGAUAGGGAGCGCGAGCUCCUCCGCUCCCAGCAUCGAUGAUCGUUCGCCCGCCGCUCUCGUAGCGCGUGGGUCACGGGGCGAGGGCACUCUGAGCAGU